CAAGUGAUCUUCAACCACAUUGGAACGCAUUGAAAUGAAGCAUUGUUUACAAAUACAAACUGAUUGCAGGCCUCCAUUUUCACAUCAGAAACAAUAUAAGGCUCAGAGCUCCAAAACAGUGGAAGUGAUGCUUUUCCACUGUUAUAGGUGAGAGGCCUCCCGGUCGUGCACUUUUUUUUUAUGGAAGAGGGGUUACGAAAAGCAAUUUGAAGAACAUAGAAGAAAACAGUUCUUCAAUAAUUUUGAUGGAAUAUUUUCCGUUUUCUAAUUUUGGUGAAUAUUUUUUGUUUGUGAUGUAAUGGAUGAAAUAUUUUUGUGAUGUAAUAGAUGAAUAGAGUAUUUUCGUGA